rnacentral:rRNA from 1 species
UUACUAGUAUAAAUAAUGAUUGGGGACUACGAGUAGUGACUUAAAAACCCAAGAUUUUGGCGGUGUUUUAUUCAAUCAGGGGAAUCUGUCUCAUAAUCGAUAACCCACGAAAAAUAAACCUUUCAUUGAAAACAUCAGUUUGUGUACUGCCGUCCAAUGGACCCUUAAGGUUACCCAUAAUAAAUUAAUUUAAAUUUAACGUCAGGUCAAAGUGCAGCUAACGGAAAGGAGAAGAUGGAUUACAGCCCACAUCAUAGAUAGAGUCUUUAUAUAGAUAUAAGAUGAAAAAGAACUUGAUAGUAAUUUUAUUUAUAAAAUAAAAUGAAAAAGAACCUAAAACAA